CCGGCGACCGGCGCACGGGUGAGUAACACGUAUGCGACCUGCCCCCCGCAGGGGGAUAACCGGGAGAAAUCCCGACUAAUACCGCGUAACGCCGCGGACCUGCAUGGGUCUAGCGGCCAAAGGAAGCGAUUCCGGCGGGGAUGGGCAUGCGGCGCAUUAGCUAGUCGGCGGGGUAACGGCCCACCGAGGCGACGAUGCGUAGGGGUUCUGAGAGGAAGGUCCCCCACACUGGUACUGAGACACGGACCAGACUCCUACGGAAGGCAGCAG
rnacentral:rRNA from 1 species